rnacentral:rRNA from 1 species
GAUGAACGCUGGCGGCGUGCCUAAUACAUGCAAGUCGAGCGAACAGACGAGGAGCUUGCUCCUCUGAUGUUAGCGGCGGACGGGUGAGUAACACGUGGAUAACCUACCUAUAAGACUGGGAUAACUUCGGGAAACCGGAGCUAAUACCGGAUAACAUGUUGAACCGCAUGGUUCAACAGUGAAAGACGGUCUUGCUGCCACUUAUAGAUGGAUCCGCGCCGCAUUAGCUAGUUGGUAAGGUAACGGCUUACCAAGGCAACGAUGCGUAGCCGACCUGAGAGGGUGAUCGGCCACAUUGGAACUUGGACACGGUCCAGACUCCUACGGGAGACAGCAGUAGGGAAUCUGCCGCAAUGGGCGAAAGCCUGACGGAGCAACGCCGCGUGAGUGAAGAAGGUCUUCGGAUCGUAAAACUCUGUUAUUAGGGAAGAACAAAUGUGUAAGUAACUAUGCACGUCUUGACGGUACCUAAUCAGAAAGCCACGGCUAACUACGUG